AGGAGCUUGGAUGGAAUUCGAAAGGCGGUCGACCAUCGUAGAAACUUGGAUGGAGUCUGGUUACUAUAGAAAUCUCAUUGUCGGAGAAGCUUGGAUAUUGACGAUGUCCGGAAGAAGUUCGGAGUAGGGUCGUCCGUGGUCAAAAGAAGUCUGAGAGGGAUUCAGAGAAUAGUUGAUCAUUGUAGAAGAUCGGCUGAUAGUGAAGUCCAAAAAGCCUUUGGAGCGGUCCGGUAGAUGAAUGGAGAAGCUCAUUGUCGGAGAAGUCCGGAUGGUAUUAUAGAAGCUCGGACGGUUGAGGAGGUUCAGAAAGAUGCCACACA
rnacentral:lncRNA from 1 species